CAGUUUUAUCCACACUGAGCCUCUAACAACUCAUCAAUUACAAUUGAGGUUUUCCUAUCCCUGAACUGGUUUGAGGUUUCUGCUCCUGUACGUUGUGAUUCUUUCUACCUUCCUAUCUGUGUCUUCAGUAUUGAGGGCAGCAGUUUGCCCUGUGACCUCAAUUCUCUGAUGGAUCUAGGAAGAGUUGUUGAUUUUCAGUUCAUUCAACUUUUUACUUACUGUUAGGGCAAAGCAAUGACUUCCAAGCUCCUUACGUGCCAGACUGAAAACUAGACUCUCUUAAUUGGUCAAUGUACAGAAGUAAGUAAGCAGGAAACUGAAGAGAGAGCAAACCAAGAGGAUGUCCCAGCAGAGAGAAAAGUGCAAUGACCAUGCAGCUAACAUUUUGUUGGUGUGUGCAAGGAACAAUAAGGGAAUAAGGGCAUUAACCCCAACCAGCUGGAUCUGAGACCAGAGGCCAUGAACCUUUUCUGCAGAGCUGUGACCUGAGGAAAGAUUGAAUCCUAGAAUUGCAUGGCACAUUCUGAAAGCAAAAACUUCAAAGCAAAUUCCCUGUUAAUGACUAACCGACUAUAGGGACCCCCAUAUGCUGGGAUUGUUGGACGAAUCCUCCCAUCCUUUUUUUUUCUCCCCUUUUUCUCUCAACCCUGUCCAGGGCUAGCCUGGUGACUGAGCUGUAACUGUGUGGUGAGGUGCAGGGUCCUGAAAC